rnacentral:rRNA from 1 species
UACGAAGGGGGCGAGCGUUGUUCGGAUUUACUGGGCGUAAAGGGCGCGUAGGCGGCGGGUCAAGUCGAGUGUGAAAGCCCCGGGCUCAACCUGGGAAUUGCGCUCGAGACUGGUCUGCUUGAGUUCGGGAGAGGAGACUGGAAUUUACGGUGUAGCGGUGAAAUGGCGUAGAUAUCGUAAGGAAGACCAGUGGCGAAGGCGGGUCGCUGGACAGUUCCGUACGCUGAGGCACGAAAGCGUGGGGAGCAAACAGG